rnacentral:snoRNA from 1 species
UGUAAUGAUGAAUUACUAGACUAGAGUCUCUGAUUACAGCAUGAAGCUCUUUUCACAGUGCACUGAUCA